ensembl:lncRNA
CUCCGCUCCGCAAUUCCGGGAGAGGGAAGAUGCAACUUCAGGCGCCCGGGCGAGCGCCGGAGAGGUGGCUUUUACCGCAGUGGAGGGGCGGGGUGGGGGCCGGAGGGGAGCGCGGAGGAGGCGCUGGCUUUGUACACUUCGUCAAAGGCGACGCGGGAGGAGGGGAGCUCGGAUGCGCUCUCCAUCCAUUAGGAGACAAAGAGCAAAUUGCCUUACUUUAAAGUAAAACGCUCCGGCUAAUGAAGGUGGGUGAUGGGGUUGCGGGGCCGCAGGAGCCGCUUCAGUUAUUAAGGGUUCGGCGGAUGGGGUCGUUGCCUGUGGGCACCGAGCGCGGCUGCCUCGGAGACAGGUUUGCCGGAGGGGCGUCGCUUUGCCUCCCCCUCCCCUGGCUCCCUGCCCGUCAGCUGGGAGCGCAGAAGUGACCCUAAUGUUAAAAGAAGUGAGAGCUCUGAAGGGAAGUUGGGGCAGGGGUGGGGGUGGGGGCGAGCGUUCUUGCAGUGACUCUGAGGAGCGGUGGGGAGGGGGUCUGGCAAGCGGGGACUCCUCGGAGAUGCACCCAGCCUGCCAAGGGUGGGAGCAGGGGUGGGGAUGGUACUGAUCGCGAUUUACACCCGGGCAUACACUAGGAAAGAAUACUUGGGGUGUGUGUAUUUGGGGAGGGUCGGGUCGGAAAAGCUCCUGGUCUGCCAUUUCCAGGGAGAGCUAACCUACUGAAGAGUUACGAUCAUUAUUUAGAUUAAACCGCCUCGUUAAGUUUUAAAGAAUAAGUUUGAAUGAAUAAGUUUGUAUGAAUAAGUUUGGUAAAAGCCAGCCGAGCUGGGUAUUUAAAACAGUGGUUCGUGGAGGAGGGUUGGUGUGCGGUGACAAUCAGCGGUGGUGGGCUGGGAGGCCGGUGGACCCCUGCUAUCAGGGACCAGGGAGACUGAGCCUUUUACCCGAAAAAUGUGGGUCUGUUCAUCAGCCCCGGUUAUUAUCGGCGUUAACAAGCUCCCCGCUGCAGACCCGGAUCUGACCAGGAGCUUCUGGGUUGUGUGUCUGUAUCCUACUCAUUCCACUGGGCUUAUUGAUAAAGAAGUAAUUGGUCUCCGGGUGUGCAGAGAUCAACUUGCUCAGCCCUCUUUUUAAAAUAUAUUCAUCCUGUGCCUUAUUUAAUCCAGAUGCACAAAAAGCCAUUUGCUGCUGCAUUGUUGGUUUACAUUUUUUGAAAAGGCGACUGGUGUAACCUGUGGAAUUUGAAAUGCAAAUAAAAGCUCGUGGGAGUUGAGGCAGAACAAAUCAGCAUUUAUAAAGUGAAAAAGAUUUAAUGUCUCUGAAAUCACUGCUGAGGAAAAAAAAAAAAAACUGGAGAGGGGGAGUGCUUUUUCAGGGAGUGAAUUGUGACGUCAGGUCUUUUUGGAAAAGAUGUUAUUUUUAAGGUCUGAAACCCGGGUAUGUAAAGUGCUUACAGGAAAACAGAUUACAAGAUUAACAUCUGUUAACAUGAUCGUUUAUCUCCAGCCAAAAAUAGGUCAGUUCUUUCUUAAGGAAAGACUAUGACUGGCGCAUGCUUAAAUAAUAAAAUUAAAAUAAUGAAUUCAUAAAUUAGGACCGGCGAUGGUGAUACUCUGACCUGUGAAGAACAUUUUUUAAUUUCGAGAUCAGUGAAAGGUCAAAGUCCCUUUUGGGUGUUGAGGACAACUUCACCCCACGUCCACUACCCGCCCCCCCCAUGACCCCUCCUUUUCACAGCUAGCUUCCUCUCCGCCCCCACCCCGAUUGCUAAUUUUCCCUUUCAUCCAUUGUGGAAGUAUAAAAUAUAUUUAAAUGGGUAUUGUCUGACGCCCCCGUAGUUAAAGAAGGCAAACUCUCGCCGCAGAUGGCUAACUUUCAGAGCUUUGCUGUUGUUUUACCAAUAAAUGAAACGGUAGGGAGGGGGGAAAAAAAGGAAACAGCCUUGCAAAAUCUUCCUGCCCCCUGGGUGUGAGUGACGGCUCUCCUGGCCAAUCCGCAGCGGCUUUCUCCAUCCCGGAGGUAAUUUGGGGUGUGAUUGUGUACGCGCGCGCGCGUGCAUGCGCCCAUGUGUCUGCACACUGUUAAGUCCGACCAUCCCCGCGCAUCCGCAGGCUCCGGAUUUGCACAGUUGUGAGCUGUAGACGUGGACACGCUUCUAUCCGAGUCUGUGCAGCUAGGUAGGCACGCAGCAGUCUCUCCUCUGAGUGUCCUCCUGUAAAGAAUGGGCAUCAGAGGUGCUUUCAGAUUCAAGGCGAAACCUGCAGAAGGGGAAGCCAAGAAGUGAUGCGAUUGUGCUUCUCAAGAGAUUAUCCAAAUGUGUGGUUUCUCCCGUCUCGUUCCCACGCGACAGACGCGCCCCGCUUCUUGGGGUUGGAAUGUUGGAGCCCACUCGCCCGGCGCCAAGCGUAGCGAAAUCGGGAAUUGUUGAAAAUGGUGUUCACUGUAAAAGUGAAGGGCAGCGUGUACCUUCCAACUUCAGAUUUUUUUUUCCUCCCUGGUAGUUGAUACUCCGUCCGUGGCAGAGCCUAGAAUGUGACCAGUUCACGGUCAGGGAAAGUUCCGCUGCCCACCCGACUUACGAACGCGCAGCGCUGGCGGUGCGCGCGCGCACAAUGCGCACAUUCACGCGCGGAGAGCGUCCCGGGCCGCCCCGCGUUUCCUGCGGUUUAGCCCGGCACCCACUUUCCUCGGAAUGUGAGUGGUGGUGGCGUGUGGAAGUGUGCGGGCCGGACUGGCCGCGCAGCAUCUGCUCAGUGUUGGAGUCGCGGUGCCGCUUCGCCCCGGGGCGGACGGCGGUGCUGCGGAGAACGGGUUAAGGCCCCACUCGUGCCCCCUCCUUCCCGGAGACCUUCCCUGGGAGGGACCUGCGCCCCGGCCUCGUCCACGCGCGGUGUAUCCCGCUGCGGGGCCGCGCAGCGGUCACCCGGACGGUCCAUGGGCGAUCCCGGGCGACAAGAUCCUAACUGGGCGACGAGGUGGUGUCGCUGGAUGAAAUCACUCCUGUUUCUGCUCCUCCUGGGGUGCGGCGCGGGGCCCGGGGCACCGGGG